rnacentral:rRNA from 1 species
GACGAACGCUGGCGGCGUGCUUAACACAUGCAAGUCGAACGGUGAAGGGACCGGUUUUUGCUGGUUCUGGAUGAGUGGCGAACGGGUGAGUAACACGUGAGUAACCUGCCCCCUUCUUCUGGAUAACCGCAUGAAAGUGUGGCUAAUACGGGAUAUUCUGCGCCUGCUGCAUGGUGGGUGUGGGAAAGAUAUUGUUUCGGUGGGGGAUGGGCUCGCGGCCUAUCAGCUUGUUGGUGGGGUGAUGGCCUACCAAGGCGGUGACGGGUAGCCGGCCUGAGAGGGUGGACGGUCACACUGGGACUGAGACACGGACCAGACUCCUACGGGAGGCAGCAGUGGGGAAUAUUGCACAAUGGGCGGAAGCCUGAUGCAGCGACGCCGCGUGAGGGAUGGAGGCCGUCGGGUUGUAAACCUCUUUCGCCAGUGAAGCAGGCCUGUCCCUUUUGUGGGUGGGUUGACGGUAGCUGGAUAAGAAGCGCCGGCUAACUACGUG